UGUAGAUCAAAGAAAUGUUCAUCAGAGAUGAAUAUGAUGCUUCAACUUUGAUUUUUGAUCAUCUAUAAAGAUCAAAGAAACAUACAUGGGAAAUGAAUAUGAUGCUUCGACUUUGAUUUUUGAUCAUCUAUAAAGAUCAAAGAAACAUACAUGGGAAAUGAAUAUGAUGCUUCGACUUUGAUUUUUGAUCAUCUAUAAAGAUUCAGUAUAUGUUAUACAUCAGAGAGAAGCAUGAUGCUUGAUUUUGACUGUCUAUUUGAAAGGCACCAAUACUUUAUAUUUCCAUUACGGCACUCUUCAAAUUAGAGGGGCGUUUAGUAGGGUCUCCUGGGACAAAAUUUGGCUGUGAUGGCGUCUAACUCUGUAAAUUAUCGGAGUUUACAGUGCACCGAUCUGAAGAAUAUAUUGAAAUCGAAAGGUUUUCCGUCUUCUAAUAGAAAUAAGCAAGACUUGGUUGAUUUAUGCGAGGGAGCAGAGGCGUUUAAUUUGCCACAUAUCGGUCAUUUUGAUGGUGAUAUACAGGCCUCCAUUAGCAGCAGACGAACGGUUCGUGGAAAAAAUAUCCACACCCAUAUCAUGAUGGUAGCAUCGCUUGGACACCGAAUCUUGCCAUUAUUCCCUCUAUAGAUGCCUUUGACGUGUCAUCUUUUCUUCAAAACUACUGUGGGUGGUCUGAAGAACGCUUACGGAACAGGAAAUCCGACAGUGGAUAUAAGCUUCAU